rnacentral:rRNA from 1 species
UGAAUACGAAAUGCUACGGCAUUGAAGUGAUCUAUGCCAUGCUUCCAAGAAAAUCUCGUCAUAUCUUAAACAAUAGGUGCCUGUACCUUAAACCGACACAGGUAGGUAGGUAGAGUAUACCAAGGGGCGCGAGAUAACUCUCUCUAAGGAACUCGGCAAAAUAACCUCGUAACUUCGGAAGAAGAGGUACCCUUGAAAAAGGGUUGCAAUAACCAGACCCUGGCGACUGUUUUCCAAAAACACAGGUCUCCGCUAAUUCGUAAGAUCAAGUAUGGAGGCUGACGCCUGCCCAGUGCCGGAAGGUUAAAGAAGUUGGUCAAUCUUUGGAUGAAGCUGGCGACUGAAGCCCCGGUGAACGGCGGCCGUAACUAUAACGGUCCUAAGGUAGCGAAGUUCCUUGUCGGGUAAGUUCCGACCCGCACGAAAGGCGUAACGAUCAGGGUGCUGUCUCGGAGAGAGACUCGGCGAAAUAGACAUGUCUGUGAAGAUGCGGACUACCUGCACCUGGACAGAAAGACCCUAUGAAGCUUUACUGUAUCUUGGAAUUGGGUUUGGGCCUUGCUUGCGCAGGAUAGGUGGGAGGCUAUGAAAAUAUUCUUGCGGGAAUGUUGGAGCCAACGGUGAGAUACCACUCUAGUAAGGCUAAAAUUCUAACUCUGAACCGUUAUCCGGUCAGAGAACAGUUUCAGGUGGGCAGUUUGACUGGGGCGGUCGCCUCCUAAAAGGUAACGGAGGCGCGCAAAGGUUUCCUCAGGCUGGUUGGACAUCAGUCGUAGAGUGUAAAGGCAUAAGGGAGCUUGACUGCGAGACCCACAAGUCGAGCAGAGACGAAAGUCGGCCUUAGUGAUCCGACGGUUCCACGUGGAAGGGCCGUCGCUCAACGGAUAAAAGUUACUCUAGGAUAACAGGCUGAUCUCCCCCAAGAGUUCACAUCGACGGGGAGGUUUGGCACCUCGAUGUCGGCUCAUCGCAUCCUGGGGCGGUAGUACGUCCCAAGGGUUGGGCUGUUCGCCCAUGAAAGCGGUACGCGAGCUGGGUUCAGAACGUCGUGAGACAGUUCGGUCCAUAUCCGGUGCAGGCGUUAGAGCAUUGAAAGGAGUCCCCCUUAGUACGAGAGGACCGGGGGGAAUACACCGCUGGUGUACCAGUUAUCGUGCCAACGGUAAACGCUGGGUAGCCAUGUGUAGCGUGGAUAACUGCUGAAAGCAUCUAAGUAGGAAGCCCACCUUAAGAUGAGUGCUCUCACCGCUAUAAGCGGGUAAGGUCACGGUAAGAACAACCGUUAUAUAGGCAUUAAGUAUACGUGCAGUAAUGCAUUUAGCUAAGAUGUACUAACAGACCGAGGGCUUGAUC